rnacentral:lncRNA from 10 species
GGGUGGGAAGGAGGUGAAAGCAGGUGUGUCUGGUGCCACCCUCACCUCCUCCUGGUUUACACAGGACUUCCUGUCAGUGGCUUCCUGUAAUUCUCACUGAACCACCCAGUAAAGUGAGAAGAGCAGCUGUCAUAGUUAUCCUGGAGCAGGCCCAGCACCCAGCCCCAGAGGAUCAUCAGAGACUGACCCGGACACUCCGGGACACUGCUGCACCCAUCACAUCCGGCUGCUGCUGCUCGCAUGGCUUCGGGGUAUAGAAGGACUCAUAACUGGCCCCGUUCAGGGCUGUGGGUGAGACUGCAGUGCCUGCAGAACCCAAGGCCUCGGGAGACGCUGCAGAGCUCAGAUGGGGGACAGUCCCUCCUUUCUUCCCUCUCUUGCAGCCCCACAGCCCCAAAUCCCCCUCAGCCCCCUUCCUACCAUGUACCACAUCCGCAUUCACUGCUGUGCAGGAAUCCCCUUACUCCUUCCUCACAACACCCCAAUGGAAGGGCAGCUGUUAUCACCUCAUCUUAUGGAUGACAAAACUGAGACACAGAGUGGACUAGAAUUUUCCCACAUUUCCUGGCGGGCAGAGCUGGGACUCGAACUGAGGUCAGG